rnacentral:rRNA from 1 species
GACGAACGCUGGCGGCGUGCUUAACACAUGCAAGUCGAACGGAAAGGCCCUGCUUUUGUGGGGUGCUCGAGUGGCGAACGGGUGAGUAACACGUGAGUAACCUGCCCUUGACUUUGGGAUAACUUCAGGAAACUGGGGCUAAUACCGGAUAGGAGCUCCUGCUGCAUGGUGGGGGUUGGAAAGUUUCGGCGGUUGGGGAUGGACUCGCGGCUUAUCAGCUUGUUGGUGGGGUAGUGGCUUACCAAGGCUUUGACGGGUAGCCGGCCUGAGAGGGUGACCGGCCACAUUGGGACUGAGAUACGGCCCAGACUCCUACAGGAGGCAGCAGUGGGGAAUAUUGCACAAUGGGCGGAAGCCUGAUGCAGCAACGCCGCGUGCGGGAUGAAGGCCUUCGGGUUGUAAACCGCUUUCGCCUGUGACGAAGCGUGAGUGACGGUAAUGGGUAAAGAAGCACCGGCUAACUACGUG